rnacentral:rRNA from 1 species
GAUGAACGCUAGCGGCAGGCCUAAUACAUGCAAGUCGGACGGGAUUCAGGAGCUUGCUUCUGAUGAGAGUGGCGCACGGGUGCGUAACACGUAUGUAACCUACCUUUAUCAGGGGGAUAGCCUCUCGAAAGAGAGAUUAAGCCCGCAUAAAAUCACAGCACAGCAUUGUGUAAUGAUCAAAUAUUUAUAGGAUAAGGAUGGGCAUGCGGAACAUUAGCUAGAUGGCGGGGUAACGGCCCACCAUGGCGACGAUGUUUAGGGGAUCUGAGAGGAUGGCCCCCCGCACUGGUACUGAGACACGGACCAGACUCCUACGGGAGGCAGCAGUAAGGAAUAUUGGUCAAUGGGCGGAAGCCUGAACCAGCCAUGCCGCGUGCAGGAAGACGGCCCUACGGGUUGUAAACUGCUUUUAUACGGGAAUAAACCCAGAUACGUGUAUCUGGCUGAAUGUACUGUAAGAAUAAGGAUCGGCUAACUCCGUG